GACGAACGCUGGCGGCGUGCCUAAUACAUGCAAGUUGAGCGAUGAAGAUUGGUGCUUGCACCAAUUUGAAGAGCAGCGAACGGGUGAGUAACGCGUGGGGAAUCUGCCUUUGAGCGGGGGACAACAUUUGGAAACGAAUGCUAAUACCGCAUAACAACUUUAAACAUAAGUUUUAAGUUUGAAAGAUGCAAUUGCAUCACUCAAAGAUGAUCCCGCGUUGUAUUAGCUAGUUGGUGAGGUAAAGGCUCACCAAGGCGAUGAUACAUAGCCGACCUGAGAGGGUGAUCGGCCACAUUAGGACUGAGACACGGCCCAAACUCCUACGGGAGGCAGCAGUAGGGAAUCUUCGGCAAUGGACGAAAUUCUGACCGAGCAACGCCGCGUGAGUGAAGAAGGUUUUCGGAUCGUAAAACUCUGUUGGUAGAGAAGAACGUUGGUGAGAGUGGAAAGCUCAUCAAGUGACGGUAACUACCCAGAAAGGGACGGCUAACUACGUG
rnacentral:rRNA from 1 species